GACGAACGCUGGCGGCGUUCUUAACACAUGCCAGUCGAACGGAAAUGCCCUGCUUUUGUGGGGUGCUCGAGUGUCGAACGGGUGAGUAACACGUGAGUAACCUGCCCUUUACUUUGGGAUAACUUCAGGAAACUGUGGCUACUACCGGAUAGGAGCUCCUGCUGCAUGGUGGGGGUUUGAAAGUUUCGGCGGUUGGGGAUGGACUCUCGGCUUAUCAGCUUGUUGGUGGGUUAGUGGCUUACCAAGGCUUUGACGGGUAGCCGGCCUGAGAGGGUGACCGGCCUCACUAGGACUGAGAUACGCCCGACACUCCUACGGGCGGCAGCAGUAAGGAAAAUUGCACAACGGGCGGAAACCUGCUGCACGAAGGCCGCGUGCGGGAUGACGGCCGUCGGGUUGUAACCCGCUUUCGCAGGAGACGAAGCGUGAGUGACGGUAAUGGGUAAAGAAGCACAGGCUAAAUCCGUG
rnacentral:rRNA from 1 species